rnacentral:rRNA from 1 species
GCGCCGUAUUAGCUAGUUGGUGGGGUAACGGCCUACCAAGGCGACGAUACGUAGCCGACCUGAGAGGGUGAUCGGCCACACUGGAACUGAGACACGGUCCAGACUCCUACGGGAGGCAGCAGUAGGGAAUCUUCCGCAAUGGGCGAAAGCCUGACGGAGCAACGCCGCGUGAGUGAUGAAGGUCUUCGGAUCGUAAAGCUCUGUUGUUAGGGAAGAACAAAUGUGUAAGUAACUGUGCACAUCUUGACGGUACCUAACCAGAAAGCCACGGCUAACUACGUGCCAGCAGCCGCGGUAAUACGUAGGUGGCAAGCGUUAUCCGGAAUUAUUGGGCGUAAAGCGCGCGUAGGCGGUUUUUUAAGUCUGAUGUGAAAGCCCACGGCUCAACCGUGGAGGGUCAUUGGAAACUGGAAAACUUGAGUGCAGAAGAGGAAAGUGGAAUUCCAUGUGUAGCGGUGAAAUGCGCA